CUAAUAUUGUAAACUUUGGGAUAUACUACUUAGGGUGCGUUUGGUUCGCUCUAUCUCUUUAAGAUUCCUAGUAAUCUAAUAGGAAUAAAAAAAUAUGACGGUGUUUGACUAAACACACUAAGUAAUCUAGUUGGUAAUAUUUGAUUUGCUUGGGAAUAAGAUUCACCCCAAAGUACUAAUCUCAUUUCUUUGAGAGAGGGUAGGUAUCUUCAUAUUAAUGGAUUGAGGUAAUCAUAAUAUAUCUAAUAUCUUUCUUUCUCCCUAUCCGCCGGCUAAUUGGUAUUAUUUUUUUUACACUCUAAUCUCAUCUCUCUCUCUAAACUUAUUUUUCUCUCUCUAAACUUCAAUUCUUUUCUCUCUCUAAACUAAGCUCUCUCCCUCUCUUUUUCUAAAAUUUCAACUCUCUCUAACCUCGACUUUAUUUCUCUUCCUAUUUCUUUAAUUAUGCUCUUUCUCUCUCUAACCUAUGCUCUCUCUUUUUUUUUUUUUCUGGAAAGAUGUUGAAAUUUUUUAUGGCAUUAUCUAAAAUUAAUUAACGAAACAAAUAAAUUAAUUGUAUAUUUUUCGUAAUCUUAAAUAACAUGACUAAAUAAUAUGAUCGUACGAACCAAACGCCGAAAUGCCACAUUGUUAGUAAUAGGAUGAAUAGGAAUAAGAUUCUCGGACAUCUUUUUACUCCUAGUAAUCUUUUAUAUUGCGAACCAAACGCGCCCUUAGAGCAAUGAUUUAAUAAACUUUGGGAUAUUUA
rnacentral:lncRNA from 1 species